rnacentral:rRNA from 1 species
UACGGAGGAUGCGAGCGUUAUCCGGAUUUAUUGGGUUUAAAGGGAGCGUAGGUGGAUUGUUAAGCCAGUUGUGAAAGUUUGCGGCUCAACCGUAAAAUUGCAGUUGAAACUGGCAGUCUUGAGUACAGUAGAGGUGGGCGGAAUGCGUGGUGUAGCGGUGAAAUGCAUAGAUAUCACGCAGAACGCCGAUUGCGAAGGCAGCUUACCGGCGCUCAACUGACGCUGAGGCACGAAAGUGCGGGUAUCGAACAGG